UCCGAUGGAUUGAGUGAGAGUUUCUGGGCUGCUGAUGAGAGCUGAAAGUGCACAUCACUGAGAAGCUCUGUUUUUUUGACUCACUGUCCAUCCUCCAUCAUGGCUUUCCUUGAGAUCUGACAUCAGGGAUACCCAGAUGCCAAAUGCUUCUAGGAAAGUGGUACAUAGUUGCCUGGGUAGGAAAUGUGCCUAUUCCUGAAAAGAAGAAGUUCAGCCCACUGCCACCCUUCACAUUCGUCAAGAACAUUAUUGGAAAGUUGGAGUUCAGGAUGAACAUCUCGGCCAGAUCACCGCAUCAAAUUUGUGUUUGUGCGUGGCAAGGACUUUGCUAUUGCCCUUUAUGUGAACAAUCAAAAUAAGAAGAUUAUGACAAUGCUCAUGGGUCGCAAUAUGGCUCCAAAGCGAACAAUACUAUUGGAUUUUGAAGACGUUGUUGUAAAUGCUGGGAUGAAAAGAACAGACAUCAUCCAUCGUAGAUGUGAUGAUUCCUGUGAGCUGUCCAGAGAAAUUUAGUGCACGGAGAAGUACCACAGAGUCUGCACAGGACCUUGAAUCUGGGACCACUGCACUUAUCCUGUCAUACUAUAAAUACAAUCCUAGGUGCCAAGAGAAGGCAGACCAUACAUCCACACCCCAUCAAG